GCGGAAGUGGCGGAACUGGCAGACGCGCAAGCCUCAGGAGCUUGUGGGCUUCGGCUCGUGGGGGUUCAAAUCCCCCCUUCCGCA
rnacentral:tRNA from 1 species